GAUGAACGCUGGCGGCGUGCCUAACACAUGCAAGUCGAGCGAACAGAUGAGGAGCUUGCUCCUCUGACGUUAGCGGCGGACGGGUGAGUAACACGUGGAUAACCUACCUAUAAGACUGGGAUAACUUCGGGAAACCGGAGCUAAUAUCGGAUAAUAUAUUGAACCGCAUGGUUCAAUAGUGAAAGACGGUUUUGCUGUCACCUAUAGAUGGAUUCGCGCCGCAUUAGCCAGUUGGUACGGUAACGGCGUACCAAGGCAACGAUGAGUAGCCGACCUGAGAGGGAGAUCGGCCACACUGGAACUGAGACACGGGCCAGACUCCUACGGGAGGCAGCAGUAGGGAAUUUUUCGCAAUGGGCGAAAGCCUGACGGAGCAAUGCCGCGUGUGUGAAGAAGGUCUUCGGAUCGUAAAACUCUGUUAUUAGGAAAGAAAAAAUGUGUAAGUAACUAUGCACGUCUUGACGGUACCUGAUCAAAAAGCCACGGCUAACUACGUG
rnacentral:rRNA from 1 species